rnacentral:rRNA from 1 species
UGAGGAAUAUUGGUCAAUGGGCGCAGGCCUGAACCAGCCAAGUAGCGUGAAGGAUGAAGGCUCUAUGGGUCGUAAACUUCUUUUAUAUGGGAAUAAAGUUGAGUAUGUAUACUUUUUUGUAUGUACCAUAUGAAUAAGGAUCGGCUAACUCCGUGCCAGCAGCCGCGGUAAUACGGAGGAUCCGAGCGUUAUCCGGAUUUAUUGGGUUUAAAGGGAGCGUAGGUGGAUUGUUAAGUCAGUUGUGAAAGUUUGCGGCUCAACCGUAAAAUUGCAGUUGAAACUGGCAGGUUUGAGGACAGGAGAAGUUGGCGGAAUUCGUGGUGUAGCGGUGAAAUGCUUAGAUAUCACGAAGAACUCCGAUUGCGAAGGCAGCUCACUAGACUGGUGACUGACACUGAGGCUCGAAAGUGUGGGUAUCAAACAGG